UGCCAGCCGCCGCGGUAACACGGGGGGCGCAAGCGUUAUUCGGAAUUAUUGGGCGUAAAGGGCGCGUAGGCGGUCUUAUCGGUCAGAUGUGAAAUCCCGGGGCUCAACCCCGGAAUUGCAUUCGAAACUGCCAGGCUAGAGUCUCGGAGAGGAAGGCGGAAUUCCCGGUGUAGAGGUGAAAUUCGUAGAUAUCGGGAGGAACACCAGUGGCGAAGGCGGCCUUCUGGACGAUGACUGACGCUGAGACGCGAAAGCGUGGGGAGCAAACAGGAUUAGAUA
rnacentral:rRNA from 1 species